UUUUGCUUAGACAAUGCCUACGCCUAGCCACAGCAGCUCCCUCAUACAGACUCCGCAAGCCAAGAGGCCGUGGAGGCAAAUGCAGGCAGCCAGCACACCUCGAACAGCCACCUUGACUGCGGGUGUGUCACCCUAGUCGCCAAGGAAACAUUUGAGGGAAAGCGACAGGCAAUGUGAACAGCCACUUCUCCAUGUAAACAAUACUCUUUCUCUCGGACGACUCCUAUGCCUCGCUACGCCAGCACAUUUGUGCACAAAGAUGCUGCGGAGGCAUGUGCAGGUCCGAGGCAAGAAGCAGUGGCACUGGUGUCGACAUUCACCCACUUUCUUUUUCUUACAUUGAGGCAGCCAGCUCACCUCGAACAGCCACCUUGACUGCGGGUGUGUCAGUAGAUUCCUGUUGUACAUAUGCUCAUAAUAAACUUCAGUAAACUUGAACUUGAUAAUAAACUUGAAGGCAAAUGGGA